AAAGGAAUAGACGGGGACCCGCACAAGUGGUGGAGCAUGUGGUUUAAUUCGAAGAUACGCGAAGAACCUUACCUAGCCUUGACAUUGAUUGAAUUCCGCAGAGAUGUAGAAGUGCCCUUCGGGGAACAUGAAAACAGGUGCUGCACGGCUGUCGUCAGCUCGUGUCGUGAGAUGUUGGGUUAAGUCCCGCAACGAGCGCAACCCUCGUCCUUAGUUGCCAGCAGGUUAAGCUGGGCACUCUAAGGAGACUGCCUUCGUAAGGAGGAGGAAGGUGAGGACGACGUCAAGUCAUCAUGGCCCUUAUGGCUAGGGCUACACACGUGCUACAAUGGGGCGUACAGAGAGUUGCGAUACCGCGAGGUGGAGCCAAUCUCAUAAAGCGUCUCUCAGUUCGGAUUGAAGUCUGCAACUCGACUUCAUGAAGCUGGAAUCACUAGUAAUCGUAGAUCAGCAAUGCUACGGUGAAUACGUUCCCGGGUCUUGUACUCACCGCCCGUCAC
rnacentral:rRNA from 1 species